rnacentral:rRNA from 1 species
UACGGGGGGGGCAAGCGUUGUUCGGAAUUACUGGGCGUAAAGGGCUCGUAGGUGGCCAACUAAGUCAGACGUGAAAUCCCUCGGCUUAACCGGGGAACUGCGUCUGAUACUGGAUGGCUUGAGUUUGGGAGAGGGAUGCGGAAUUCCAGGUGUAGCGGUGAAAUUCGUAGAUAUCGAGAGGAACACCGGUGGCGAAGGCGGCGAUCUGGACGAUGACUGACGCUGAGACGCGAAAGCGUGGGGAGCAAACAGG